rnacentral:rRNA from 1 species
UACAGAGGGUGCAAGCGUUAAUCGGAAUUACUGGGCGUAAAGCGCGCGUAGGUGGUUCGUUAAGUUGGAUGUGAAAUCCCCGGGCUCAACCUGGGAACUGCAUUCAAAACUGUCGAGCUAGAGUAUGGUAGAGGGUGGUGGAAUUUCCUGUGUAGCGGUGAAAUGCGUAGAUAUCGGGAGGAACACCAGUGGCGAAGGCGCCUGCCUGGCAGUAUAUUGACGCUGAGGUGCGAAAGUGCGGGGAGCAAACAGG